rnacentral:rRNA from 1 species
GAUGAACGCUGGCGGCGUGCCUAAUACAUGCAAGUCGAGCGAAGCGGGGACGGGUGAGUAACACGUGGAUAACCUCCUAUAAGACUGGGAUCACUUCGGGAAACCGGAGCUAAAACGGAUAAUUAUAGAUGGAUACGCUCUGCAUUACAUAGGUGGUAAGGUAACGGCUUACCAAGGCAACGAUGCAUAGCCGACCUGAGAGGUGGAUGGGCCAAACUGGAACUGAGCAGCGGUCCAGACUCCUACGUGAGGCAGCAGUAGGGAAGUUUCCGCAAGGGGCGAAAGCCUGUCGGAGCAACGCCGCGUGAGUGAUGAAGGUCUUCGGAUCGUAAAACUCUGUUAUUAGGGAAGCGGUACCUAAUCAGAAAGCCACGGCUAACUACGUGCCAGCCGCCGCGGUAAUUC